rnacentral:misc_RNA from 1 species
GCUUGCCCCACUCUGCUCAGCUUGUAUACAAGGUCCUGGAGGUAUCCUGUCUCUUUCCCGGAGGAGCUGAUGAAAGCCUGCCGUUCCAGCCGCUUCUUCCGGUCCUCUUUCACCUUCUCCAACAGCUCCACAUCAUCGUCGGCCUCGAGGAUUGCGGCACGUGAGAUGCCGGCUGCACCGGCGAUCGAGAGAGCGAGGCCGGUGAGACAGCCGGAGAGGGCGUCCCUCCUGCCAACAACCAGAGCCUGGCGUCCUUGGUUGGCCGAUCCCCUCACAGCAUCGGUGUCCCGCUUCACACACACUAUGGCUGCUCCAGCAGCAGCUGAGAAAAUUGAAGGUGAAGUGUGG